GGGGAAUUAGCUCAGCUGGGAGAGCGCUGGCUUUGCAAGCCAGAGGUCACCGGUUCGAACCCGGUAUUCUCCA
rnacentral:tRNA from 1 species